CCUAAUAUGAAGACUUCAUCUCUGAUUCACUAGUAGAGAGAUAAGCAACAAUGAAGUUAAUUUGUACACACACAUAUACGUACUUGCAUCAGAGUAUACACACAUAACAAUAUAGAAACAAUCUGAUUUAGUUAAAACAUUCCUCGCCCAUCCUUGAACCUUCUUGAGAAGUAUCAACCAAAAUAGGCUUCAAUUAAAACAACCAAAAAAAGGACAAAAUCAUCUUCUUAAAAAAGAAUUAUAAAUAUUUAUUUUGCUAAAUCAGACCAUUUUGGAUACAAAAAAUAUAUAUAUAACAAAUAAGCUUUAUUUUCUAUGAUAUAAAAACACAAACUUUGGCGAUGAAGAAUUAGGAUUUUGGUGAGAGAGGCUCGACGGUGAUGCAAUGGCGGGAAGGAAUCCAAGGUGGUGGCGUCAUCUCUCUUUUACUCUCAUCUUCAUGUUUCUCUAUCUUUCCUUUGCUCUUUCUCACAUCUGACAGAAACACAGAAAAGAAGCCACAUAUUAACCGAGGAGUAGAAGCCAAUUAAUCAACAACACAUUAACUACAGAAAAGAAGCCAAAGACUUAGAAACUUACUAGGGUGAAUCAUCAUCAGAGGGAAGGGUUGUUGUAACGUCGCAGGGUUUUAACUAGGGGUUCCUUCUAUUGGAAUCAAAUUUCAAGAACGACAAGAAGACAAAUAUUGGUAGUCGAUUUGGGAGGUGAGUGAGGUUUUGGAAUUUGGAUUUUAGAAACAAGUAUGAGGCCAGAAGGUAUCGAGAGGUAAAGGGGUGAAAGAUGUUUUCCCUCCAAAUACCCUCUGACUGCAUGCAAGAUGCUCUCCUUCACAUUGAUACACCAUACCACAACUAUAGUUUAGAGGGUGCAGGAAAAAGGUAAGGGGAGCCUAUCCCUCUCUCUCUCUCUCUCUCUCUCUCUCUCUCUCUCUCUCUCUCUCUCUCUCUCUCUCUCU
rnacentral:lncRNA from 1 species